GGUGCUGUAGACAAAUUGGUAAAGUCACAGGGCUUUCAAUCCUGGGUUUGCGGGUUCGAUCCCCGUCAGCACUGCCA
rnacentral:tRNA from 1 species